rnacentral:misc_RNA from 1 species
GGAAAGAAUCGUCCAAGAGGUGCUAGGUCAAUCGGCGGUGGGAGGUCUUUGUGGUAUUGAAAUCGGUCGGGUUAAGCGAGUCGGAUUCGCAAGAAAGCUUUCGGAUCUCUCUUGUUUUGCCCUUAUUUCACAUGUUACGGGCACUGUUUAACUAAUUUAGGAACGAGGAAGAGGUGGUAGUGAGUCUCAGACUAGGACGGGUGAAGGCGGCGUUUGGGACAUUGAUUACUUCAUUACCAAAGAUGAUCUAAGUAUAUUUGCUGCGCUUAUAAUGUAUAAUUUGAACUAAGACACAUAUAUUUUUCUGCUUAUUAAAAAUGUUUAAAUUAUAUUAAAAAAAUGAAAGGAUAGUUUUCCUCUCUCAGAUAUGUCUGGCCGUCUUCAAAUGCUACUGAGGAGAGAUAACCAUAACAGAAAAUUAAUUCCGUUCAAGAAAGAGCAGUGCCACAAAAAUUUCUCUAGCCUUCAACCAUACCACAGAACAUGGCAGCAGCUUAACUCUGAGCUUCGCUUUCCUUCUCCAUCCGCGGUACUCUCUCUCUCUUUCUCCUUCUCUCUGUCUUGUACAGGUUUUGUGAUUUCAUGGAUUUUAUUUCAAGCUUUAAAUCAUGUUUUAGAUGUUUGUGCUAUUAGCUCUACAACAAGAAGCCAUGCCAUUUCUCUAUUACCCACUUCAGGUUUUGUUAAAAGUGGGACCACCUUUGCCGCUGGCUCUCCUCUUUGUAAGAUACUUCAUCAUCUAUUCUUUGCAUCUUCUUUAUCAUUGAUGACAUGAAGCACUAUCAUUCUUCAAUUAUGCAGUGCUUUUAAAUUGUUGUUACUGCUUCUUAGAUGCAAUGCUUCAUGUUAAUUAAUGCGUGGGUGGUUGAAGUUGAUUAGAUUAAAUGAUUACAGUAUAAUGCAAAAAGAAAUUCACAUGUUUUAGCUUCCAUUUUUGUGUCCUAUUGCAACAUAUAUAAAAAUGGGUUUAAUUGUCAAGAGCAAGAGGGUAAAAAUGAACUUUUUUUUUUCUCUUUUAGUAGCAUACUUGGUGUUAAAAGUUAAGCAUAACCACCUUAGCGGCAUUUAGAAUUUAGAACCUAGGUGGUUUUUACUUGUGUUUGUCAUCUUAUAUAGGUUUGAAUACUGCUUUGUUAACGUAACUAAUUCUUGAUUCUGCUUCCACAGCAAUUGUUCAUUCUGGAUUAUUGUUUUCUGUUUUAGGAUUAAUUGCAACUUGGUUGAAUCUAAUCAUUUUAUAAUCUCUUCUUUUUGUGUAUGAGUCAUUGGUUAGUUAAUUCAAUUAUGAUAACUGGGGUUUGGGAAGAAGAAUUGUU